AGGCCUACGGGGGGCAGCAGUGGGGAAUAUUGCACAAUGGGGGAAACCCUGAUGCAGCGACGCCGCGUGAGCGAAGAAGUAUUUCGGUAUGUAAAGCUCUAUCAGCAGGGAAGAAAAUGACGGUACCUGACUAAGAAGCCCCGGCUAAAUACGUGCCAGCAGCCGCGGUAAUACGGAGGAUGCGAGCGUUAUCCGGAUUUAUUGGGUUUAAAGGGUGCGUAGACGGCGAGGUAAGCCUGAAGUGGAAGCCCGCGGCCCAACCGCGGAACUGCUUUGGGAACUGUUUUGCUGGAGUAUGGGAGGGG
rnacentral:rRNA from 1 species